GAUAAUGUAACUCAGUGGUAGAGUGAUUCUCUUUUAAAGAAUUGGUCGAAGGUUCGAUCCCUUCCAUCAUCA
rfam:Serendipita vermifera MAFF 305830 unplaced genomic scaffold scaffold_217, whole genome shotgun sequence.